CUCAGGAUGAAACGCUGGCGGUCUGCUUAACACAUGCAAGUCGAACGGGAUCCUUCGGGAUUUAGUGGCGGACGGGUGAGUAACGCGUGAGAAUCUGCCCUUAGGUUGGGGACAACAGUUGGAAACGACUGCUAAUACCCCAAUGUGCCGAGAGGUGAAAGGUUAACUGCCUGGGGAUGAGCUCGCGUCUGAUUAGCUAGUUGGAGUGGUAACGGCACACCAAGGCGACGAUCAGUAGCUGGUCUGAGAGGAUGAUCAGCCACACUGGGACUGAGACACGGCCCAGACUCCUACGGGAGGCAGCAGUGGGGAAUUUUCCGCAAUGGGCGAAAGCCUGACGGAGCAAGACCGCGUGAGGGAGGAAGGCCUAUUGGUUGUAAACCUCUUUUGAUAGGGAAGAACACAAUGACGGUACCUAUCGAAUCAGCAUCGGCUAACUCCGUGCCAGCAGCCGCGGUAAUACGGAGGAUGCAAGCGUUAUCCGGAUUUAUUGGGCGUAAAGCGUCCGUAGGUGGCAAACCAAGUCAGUUGUUAAAGCGUAGAGCUUAACUCUAUAAGGGCAAUUGAAACUGGUUAGCUAGAGUGCGAUAGGGGCAAGGGGAAUUCCCAGUGUAGCGGUGAAAUGCGUAGAUAUUGGGAAGAACAUCGGUGGCGAAGGCGCCUUGCUGGGUCUGCACUGACACUGAGGGACGAAAGCUAGGGGAGCGAAAGGGAUUAGAUACCCCUGUAGUC
rnacentral:rRNA from 1 species